UAAAGAUCAUCUAAUUCGACCCCCCCUGCUAUGAGGGGGGUCACCUUCCACUAGACCAGGUUGCUCAAAGCCCCAUCCAACCUGGCCUUACCAGGUUCACAUGACAAUUCCUUUGAUGCCAAGUCCCUCUGAGAAAUACCAAGAGUCAUACCAAAUAAUGGACUCAUGACUCCAUGCUCAUGGUGCUCCAGUGAUCACUGUAGGAGCACAGGUCUUGUGGAGAUUUAUGUGCUUGUGCAGAGGAUGUCUUCAGAUGUGGUGUACUGCUUUCUCCCCUACCUCCUCUGCCCAACUGCAUCUUCCUUUCCUCAGCUCUUUAAGUUUCUGGUCUGAUUGCAGCUGUCAAAUCCUUUCUGCUAAAGCUUUUUUCUUCCUGUUUUUGAAGCAGUCUCUUCCAUCCACUCUUCUCAGCUGUACUCAGGUGAUAGCAAAUGCUCCUGCUACGGGGCCUUACUGUUUUGUGCUCUGGAAAGCCCCAUCAGUCAUUUUGGUAGUGCUCUCAGGUGAUAUCUGCAGUUCUCUUUGGAUUCUCUUGGCAAGCAUUGAAUGUUCUGGGUCUAGAUAGACCUGUGUGCAAUGUCGGCUCGUAGCCCAGCAGAGAUGGAGCAGGAGGAAGAGGCUGCAUGGCUGGAAGGCAGCGGAGAGAAGCAGUGCCCCAGGGUGGUGCUCACACACUGCUGUGUUUGAGUGCUCUGCCACCAUUGACACACACCGUUAUCUCCUCUCUCACAUUAAGGGCUGCUUUAUCCCUGAUAAAUCACAGAGCAGCCCAAACAGGCAUGAUUCGGGGCUGGUUUUCAUUUUAGAUGUGAGUGCACUUUACACAUGUACUUUAGGAGAAGCAGGUUGUGCGCUAGCUUUUAAAGCUUCCCGGAGAAGGACACGUCUGUCACCCCUGUGACCUUUGCAUGUGGCUACCACUCUGGUCACAAACAAAAUGCUAUUGGCACGUUUCAGGAUCACAGGCACAUUUGUCCUGCUGAAGCCUUCUCGGUGCCACUGAGGAAUCCUGCUCUGUCUCUGGGGACAGCUGCUUGGAUUUAGCCCACACAGCACCUACAGUUUCUUUCAUAUUUGCAUUCUUUUUAAGUAUUUAAUAAGUUUGUGUAACUUUUUGUUAAGCAGCAAGCAAAUGUUUUCCAGGGGAAGCUAAUUCAAGCACAUCCUCCUUGUGUAGGUUUGAUGUUAUGGAACAGUGAGUCUGUUGAAUUAAUUAGCAUACUGCACUUCACUUACUCAGCUAAUCUGCAUAUUUUGCUCCUGGGCUGAGGGAAGCCUCUGGGUGCUGCUGGAUGCUCGCUGCAGUCACAGCUCCAGCCCUGAGGCAGGUGGGCAUGCACACACAUGGCAGGUGUGUCACCAGCUGCCUCAUGCCCACAGGUUUUGCAGGUGCCCUGGGGUGCCUGACCCUGUUCUUGACUCAAACCAUGGUAAGUGGUACCACUGAGAAGCAGCAGUGCAAUCUGCCAGAAUUUGUGUUUGCUUGCUCCUCAUCCCGCACCCAAACCAGGGGCUGCACAGCAACCGGACAAUGCCAGCCCUCAUCCCCCCUCCACCCUGCCUGCCGUGGGGAAGAAAGAGCAGAGCUGCCCCAUAGCUCCCUCCUAGGGUGUGCUCAGAGGAAAACACACACACACUUCUGGGAUCCUGGCAUUUUUUCAUCUUGGCACAAAAUUCUCACAGAGAUGAUUAUUUGAAAGAUGAGUCACCAAAUACAAUAGCAAAGACACAUCCUUGACUUACUGGCAGAGAAGAGAGAUGUGACCAGCAUUAAGUCUCCAUGCAAUGUCUCCAUCACACAGUGUCUGGCAUUUAUUCUAAACAGCUCUCAGUCUUCAGCAGAAUUGUUUUUUCACAUCAGAAAUCCAGCUACUUUUCCAUCUGAAAUGUUCCUUA